rnacentral:misc_RNA from 1 species
GGUGGUCUUUGACGAAGACUGCGACCUGCGCAAGAUCCAGAUUCAACGCAACCAGCCCACUCUUGCCGCGCUUCCCGAACAACAUAUCCGGCUUGACGACGAGCUUCUCGGACGAGAUCCAUGGCUCCGCCGCGGCUAGCUCUUCAAAGUUUGUUGAAUCUGUGACCUGGGCGGAUCGGAUCGGAAGCUGGAUGCCGGAGAGGCGCUUGAGGUGCUCCUUGAGGAGGCGCUUCGAGUCGUACUCCCGGAUCUUCUUCCUCGCCAUUGCGGAUCUCGGUCUCGAUUCGAAACCCUAGCGGGGUAGGUGGAGAUCUCG